UCACGGUUGCUCCGCCGUCACCCGAUGCCUCUUCCUCCUCCUCCUCCUCUCGUUUACCCUUUGUUGCCGGCACUCACUCGCGAAUACACGAUUAAUUACGAUCACCGGUGUCUUACACGGCACUCCCGACGUUUAUCGCACGCUCCUUAUUAUAUAUACGACGAUAAGACACGCGAAAAAAUAUGGUUUCACAACGAUUCAUACACACAUACACAGAUGCAUACGAGAGUGAAGUUCAUACGCCACUUGCCGCAACGACUAUGCGUUAUAGGUUAAAGAGGAAAGUUCGCGAAUACACGAUCCGUGAAAAACUUAUAUUACGUAUUAUUUAUUUCAAAUAGAUAAACGGCACGAAAUACCUGCCUCGAUAAGCAACUACUGUCGAUACACGUUUCGUUAAUUGUUACUAAUAUAGAGAGUAAUGAUGUAAUUUCUCGAGCACGCACGGAGCACUUCGCGUCAACGCUUACCGCUCAACUCUCACGAUGCGAAUGUCACGGCGCUAAUGUCACGACGUACACAACCGCGCGAACGUUGCGCAUAAACAACGGCGCGGUGAAGGACAUACGUCACAAAAUUCGGCGCUGUGUUUACUGUAGUGACUUUGUUAUUGUUGGCGCGGCGAGAGACGAGACUGGAACGACAAAUAUCACAAUAUAAAGUGCACCAUUGGGAAUGUAAAACAAUUGUAAUUUUGAUCGCGAAUGAGUGCCAUGAAACAACAACAAAAGAUGAAGGCAACGGGCAGAGCAACCUUAGGUGUACCUACAGCGAGCUUUCUCCUUAGCAAGAUCUCGUCCGUGGCGACCGUGGUGAGCGUAGAUCACAUUAGCCAUGGUGGCUAUUCGCAGAUGCUACCAGAGUGCCAUCGAGGAGACGGUGCAGUUGCAAUUCUGAAAGAAUGCAUUACGUGAACAUGCGAGCCGCAUGUUAAUUCACGCUUAUUCGGCGAUAUAGAUCAUAAUUUUGGUCGCGCGAGGCCACGUCAUCGCUAAUACACGUAUUCGUCUUUUUUCAGGCGUACACAUAA